rnacentral:rRNA from 1 species
AACGAACGCUGGCGGCAGGCUUAACACAUGCAAGUCGAACGCCCCGCAAGGGGAGUGGCAGACGGGUGAGUAACGCGUGGGAAUCUACCCAGAUCUUCGGAACAACUGAGGGAAACUUCAGCUAAUACCGGAUACGCCCUACGGGGGAAAGAUUUAUCGGUUCUGGAUGAGCCCGCGUUGGAUUAGCUAGUUGGUGAGGUAACGGCUCACCAAGGCGACGAUCCAUAGCUGGUCUGAGAGGAUGAUCGGCCACACUGGGACUGAGACACGGCCCAGACUCCUACGGGAGGCAGCAGUGGGGAAUAUUGGACAAUGGGCGAAAGCCUGAUCCAGCCAUGCCGCGUGAGUGAUGAAGGCCUUAGGGUUGUAAAGCUCUUUCAGUGGGGAAGAUAAUGACGGUACCCACAGAAGAAGCUCCGGCUAACUUCGUGCCAGCCGCCGCGGUAAAAC